GACAGGGGAGAGUGAGGCACGGUUCCCGGUGCUAUGAUCAUAUGCUUCAAAUGCAAUAGAUAGGGUUAGUUCUACAACAUCUGGGGGAAGCAGUGUUUGAGAUUGCUGCAGCAGGGCAUUUGAGCAGUAAUUUUAGAUAAGCAACGAUAUUUUGAUAGAUUGUCAAUAUAGUAUAGUGGUCCAAAUUCGGGAAAAGUCAACAGAGCCUUUCAUAAAAUACGUACCGG